UAAAAUUUCCCCCAAAUCAUUUCCCUCCCAUCCAAAUGUCUUCCCUCCGAUCAAUAACAAAACCCUAGCCACACAUCAAAGUAGAAUCACAUAUCUGGUUCACAAAAGAUGACCUUAAUCUUCACAGGUGUUUCAUUGACCUCCGUUCUUCAUCUUCAAACCCUAGCCAAACAGGUAACUCGUCGAUAUCACUGGUAAUGGUUCUAAUUUCACUAAAGUCAAUUUUGUCUUUGUUGAUUUCACUAACCAUCUUUGUUUUUUAUUUUGAUUGCUGUUGGUCGGAAGAGCCAUCUUCGGUUCAUCUUUGUUGGACAUCGGUUUAUUGGUUCAUCCUUUUCAAUUUGCUCCCAAGCCCUAAGUCAGUAACUUUUGGAACUCUAUUUGACUCUCUUUUUUUAUAUAUGAUGAUCCUAGUAUCCCAUAUACAUGCCUGAUCACUAAUGGAACAAAAUGGGUUAAAAUGCCAAACAAAAAGAUGGCACCCUUUGUGCUGCCAGGCAUGCUGGUGCCUUUGUGAGAGGAUAUGAUGUUAUUCACAAACUAUUUAGAGAGCUGGCUUACCGAUAAAAGGUAGGAGGAUAUACAAGAGUAAGCAAGCGCUUUUGGCGCCUAGGCGCUUCUUCUGGGCGAUUCGCAUUUACUACGCUUAUGGUUCCCAGUAUUUAUAGGUCUUUAAGUUUAAACAGAUGAUAUAAGUUCAUAUUAUCAGAUUUUUCAGUUCGAAUUAUCAACAUUAUUCGGUUCGUAUUAUCAAGAUUAUUAAGUUCUUUUGGCUUUCAACCCACCAACCCAUUAACAUCCAAAGUGGCCUUGCAGGGUGAUAUUUAUGAGCAAAGAACCCAAUUUGCGUAGGUUAAGCUACAUAAAUACUAACGUGUACCAAAUAAACAUGAUUGGAUAGUUGUUCAUUUUGGAUACUUCAAGUGGCUGGUAAAUUUUACAAGCUGGGUUGUCAUUCCUUGUCAUCAACAGAAAAAGAAUAAAUUCGUUUCAAUUGGUUUUGUUAAAAGAUUACGCGAGUAGCCCAAGGGUAGGGUAGAUAUCAUGAGAAACUUUGGAGCUAAGUUCUAAGACAGUGAAAUUCUCACCAAAAAGAACGUUUAGACUCAUCGUGUAAACAUUAGGAGUUUGGAAUGUCACUUAUUACACAAUGUUUUGCUAACAUUUGAAUUAUGUUUCGGAUCAAGCUCAUUGUUGAAGUUAUAGUAGUAUGAUUUCCACA